rnacentral:hammerhead_ribozyme from 1 species
AUCUAGUCGACAAGUCCCAAAUAAAACGAAACGCGCGUCAAACUGGAU